rnacentral:rRNA from 1 species
CGAAGUCUGGUGCCAGCAGCCGCGGUAAUCCAGCUCCAAUAGCGUAUAUUAAAGUUGUUGCAGUUAAAAAGCUCGUAGUUGAAUUUCGGGACUAAUAUGUCGGUCGUACUUUGUACGUACUAGCAUUAUUGGUUUCUCCCUUCUGACGAACCACGAUGUCAUUAAUUUGGUGUCGCGGGAAAUCAGGACUGUUACUUUGAAAAAAUUAGAGUGUUUAAAGCAAGCUCGCGCUUGAAUACAUUAGCAUGGAAUAAUGAAAUAGGACGUUUGAUUCUAUUUUGUUGGUUUCUAGGAUCGACGUAAUGAUUAAUAGGGAUAGUUGGGGGCAUUAGUAUUCAAUUGUCAGAGGUGAAAUUCUUGGAUUUAUUGAAGACUAACUACUGCGAAAGCAUUUGCCAAGGAUGUUUUCAUUAAUCAAGAACGAAAGUUAGGGGGAUCGAAGACGAUCAGAUACCGUCGUAGUCUUAACCAUAAACUAUGCCGACUAGGGAUCGGAUGAUGUUAAUUUUUUAAUGACUCAUUCGGCGCCCUUACG